AAGGGCAGCUACCUCGGUGACGAGGAUGCUAAUCUCGAAAGCCGGUCUCAGUUCGGAUCGAAGUCUGCAACCCGACUUCGUGAAGUUGGAUUCGCUAGUAAUCGCGCAUCAGCCAUGGCGCGGUGAAUACGUUCCCGGGCCUU
rnacentral:rRNA from 1 species